rnacentral:rRNA from 1 species
ACUUUACAAUGCGGGCAACCGUGAUAAGGGAACCUCGAGUGCCUGUACAUGCAGGCUGUUCAGGUGUCUAAAACACACCUGAAGAAAGGGCCGGGCAAGACCGGUGCCAGCCGCCGCGAUAAUACCGGCGGCUCGAGUGGUGGCCACUUUUACUGGGCUUAAAGGGUCCGUAGCUGGAUCCACAAGCCCUUGAGAAAUCCAUCGGCUUAACUGCUGGGCGUUCAGGGGAUACUGUGGUUCUAGGGGACCGGGAGAGGUGAGAGGUACUGCCGGGGUAGGAGUGAAAUCCUGUAAUCCCGGUGGGACGACCUAUGGCGAAGGCAUCUCACCAGAACGGCUCGACAGUGAGGGAC